rnacentral:misc_RNA from 1 species
GUAGAUGUGUAUUGAGAGAGGGCCUGUAUGGAGGAGGGUUCCUGGUGCUUCUCCACCCAUUGGGAUUGCCCAAGGUGAAGACCUCGCAGCAACAAUCUUGGUCUUCAAGACCAUCGCGAUUAAAAAUUCUGAACACUUUGAACUCCCUGGUAGAAUCCGUGUAACCAAAUCCAAUGCAUAGGUCAAAUUCUUGGUCGGGUCGUUCU